GACGAACGCUGGCGGCGUGCUUAACACAUGCAAGUCGAACGAUGAAGCCGGAGCUUGCUCUGGUGAAUUAGUGGCGAACGGGUGAGUAACACGUGAGUAACCUGCCCUUGACUCUGGGAUAACUGCUAGAAAUGGUAGCUAAUACCGGAUACGACCCUCGGAGGCAUCUUCAGGGGGUGGAAAGAAUUUCGGUCAAGGAUGGACUCGCGGCCUAUCAGCUAGUUGGUGAGGUAAUGGCUCACCAAGGCGACGACGGGUAGCCGGCCUGAGAGGGUGACCGGCCACACUGGGACUGAGACACGGCCUAGACUCCUACGGGAGGCAGCAGUGGGGAAUAUUGCACAAUGGGCGCAAGCCUGAUGCAGCAACGCCGCGUGAGGGAUGACGGCCUUCGGGUUGUAAACCUCUUUUAGUAGGGAAGAAGCGAAAGUGACGGUACCUGCAGAAAAAGCACCGGCUAACUUCGUGCCAGCCGCCGCAGUAA
rnacentral:rRNA from 1 species